rnacentral:rRNA from 1 species
GACGAACGCUGGCGGCGUGCCUAACACAUGCAAGUGGAGCGACGAACCAGGCUUCGGCCUGGGGCAGAGCCGCGAACGGGUGAGUAACACGUGGGUAACCUGCCCCGAUGAUUGGGACAACCCGAGGAAACUCGGGCUAAUACCAAAUGUGCCCCGCAGCUUCAAGGCUGCUGGGGAAAGGAAGCUUCGGCCUCCGCAUCGGGAUGGGCCCGCGGCCCAUUAGCUUGUUGGUGAGGUAAUGGCUCACCAAGGCUACGAUGGGUAGCUGGUCUGAGAG